AUGUGCUGGCAGUUGCUCUUUGGAGCACCCACUUCACUUCUCCCAUGUAGUUCCUGAGUGCAGGACUCUCCUGAAGAAGGGGCGUCUAAAAGGCCAGCCCAUGCAUCUUGUUCAGACCAGGCUGCUCCAUCUCCGCUAAGCCCAGGGAUCCACUUGUAUCUGAUGUCCUGCCCUUGGCAGUUUUCAACUCCAGAUGUAGGUCUGACUCCUAUUAGGCUACCAUUUCUUUGUGGGAAGACAGAACCUCGUCGCGACAUUUCUCAGAAGCCAUGACAUGUCCCUGCGGCUGGAGGCCUUUCAAGGGUGGCCCAGGAGGCCUCAAGGGCCCGGUGUGGCCUGCAAAGGAAGAGAACAGCUGUUCUCACGGAAGGAUCCAAAGGGUUCAAAGGCGAAGGGUGCCAUCUGCUUCCCCACUGAUUCAGAAGAUAAACAGGAGAAGUGUCCUGUUUCACCCAUAUUGCUGGUCCUGAUUUUUCAAUAGUGUCCCUACCCUGAAGCUCUUCCAUUGGUCAUCAUGGAGUUAGCUAACAGCCCAGGGAACUGGUCUCUUUUCCCUUUUCCCUUACCACCUGGAACUCACCUGGAAAGGGCAAUCAGCUGGCUCUAUAUCAGACGCCACCACCUGGUCUUUGAAGUUUCUGUCCUACCAGUGCCACAGCUCCCUCUCCCACUUCUGAACUACCUCCAAGAGAGACCAUCCUCAGCAGCCUAGUAUGUUAUGCUAGUCCUGGAAUGGUGUAUUCUGGAUGUCUACUCAAGGCCAAACCCCAGUAUUGCCUUUCGUUUCCCUAUUCAAGGCCAAGGCUAGAUUCUCUUCAUUGUCUCCAUUUCUCUUUCUCCAGAGCUCCUAUAGGGCAAGACACUGUUUCUCAUAUAUUUCUGGAUCCUUGGAGCUUAGCUCGGAGCUUGGCAUACAUGCCCAGCAUGAACUUUUCUGAAUAAAAUAAUUUCAAAUGCUGUAUACAGGAAAAAAAAAAAAAAAA
rnacentral:lncRNA from 1 species